rnacentral:pre_miRNA from 14 species
UCUCUGGAUAAUAGGGUGGUUGCUGAUACCAGACAAGCCCCCAAAUGAAAGACCCCUGGAGCAGGGAGACCCUCACUCAAGUCUCAGGAUGAUGUGACCCUCCCAAGAACUCACGUCUUU